rnacentral:lncRNA from 1 species
UGUGAUCUUACCAAAAUGCUUUGUGCAUUUGACAGUUUCUUUUAUAUUUGGAUUGUAGUUCACAUUGUGAGCUAUGGUCCUUAGAUUAAUGGGACUCAUGAACAAAAUUCAUGAAUAAGAAUACCUAUGAUUGGAAAUCAUAUGCCCUUAAGGGCCCCUAUUUUUUGAUGGAUAAAUAUCAUAGAAAAGUUGGUAAACUUUUCUAUUGGUCA